CCUUAUCUGCCGCCCUAGAGCCUUUGCCCUAUAACAGUGAAAUCAACAAUGACUUGUGUCAGGAGAAAUCUUUAACUUAUUAUUUAUUACAAGAUAUUCUAAUGUUUAAAGAGCAAUCCAACAUAUAUGAAGAGGGUGGAAAAUCAACUACCAGAGAUUUUAUUCACUUCCUGAGGCCGGAGCGCUCUCCCACACUGCCCUCACUGACUGCCUUCACCAUAAAUGUAGCUUGUUUAUGAGAUCAUUCAAGUUUGGGGCAGCAACCACUUCUCGGUAUAAUCGCACAGUCCGGAUCUAAGAAAACAUUUCUGAGAAAUAUUUUCUUCAGUCUGCAAUGGUCAGUAAAAACCAGCCACCCAUAACUUCACUCAUGAGUGCAUUUCUAACAAAAUGAUUUUGUUUCUCCUAUCUUCAUGGAAAACUAACCUAAGCAUCCCAUGUACACACAUUUCUUUUUAUUCUGCAGAUCUUAUUAGGUUUAUAAGUUUUAGCAUCUCUCUAAUUCUUAUUAAACGCUAACUCAAUGCUAUUAAAUGCCAUUUUUACUAGGGUUUUCCUGAGAUCUAUUUUGAGCAGAUGAAAUACUUAAAGUAUGCAAUUCCACAGUUACACCGUCCAUUUGUGAGCAAUUUUCUAGUUGCAGAUUCUAUUACUGCUGCUAUGAAGUUUGUAACUUAACAUGAUUCUUAUUAUUCUUAAUCUAUCAACAAUAAUCCAGUCUCUUUAUCAGAGAUACUCAACAGAAGAAAUGGAGAUACAUUAAAUAAGAGAAAGAGUAAAAGACUACAGUAGUAGACAUCUCUGCUAACCCUAAAUUAUCUGAUAUAUGAAAUUAAAAAAUAGUCUUCCUUUUGUUCUGAUUAUAAACAUUAACAUAUGCUGUUGCCAAAGAUUGAGAAAAAACAGAAAUAAGAAAAUAAAAACAGCAAUCCUGAUAUUUCAUACAUUUUUUCCCAAAAUUUCAUAUUUACAAUAUUAGAGAUUAAACAGUUUUUUAGAAUGAAUGUUCCAAGGAUAAACAAACUACCAUCAAGCUUAGAAGUGUGGAUGUAUUGAAUAUAUUUCUUCAUAUAUACACACAUGCAAGUAAAUACGUGCCAUCUAUAUCAUUUUAGCGACAUCAUUUGAAAUGAAAUGACAUUCAGUUUUGCAUAUGCUAAAAAAUUAUAUAUCUCAUAAAUUCUGGACCCUGGACUUAAACAGACCUGCAGGAAAUGACUACAAAAAGGCUAAUUUCUGCUGGUUGUUCUUGAUUCUCACGUGCAGAGCCAGGAUAACCUUCCUUUACUCGGGAAGGUAAAUGUCAUGGCAAGUGUCAUGCUCUCUUCAAACUUCCCUUUCAACACGGGAGAAUGUGAGAGCAGUGUUUCCCAGUGUCCCCUGAACGCCAGCUAUCUCUGCCUACCAUAUUGUGAGCUUUCCCAGGUAAGUGUGCUCCUGUAGAGUUCUUCCAACACAGAGUAGGGUUCAGACCAUGCUGGUUCUAUCACGGUUACAUUUAACCCAUUUCUCCCUCGACAGAAUGUUUUCUAAAUUUAAAAAGUGGUAAAAAUAGAACUAAGUCUGGGCAUACUGGUCCAUCCUUGUUUCUAAACAUCCUGAAGAGACGGAUCUAGAUGUAAACAAUUGUGAACCAUGGACAGAAUUUCCUCUUCUCUUAACUAGUGAUUCAUAUGUGGAAUUCACAGAUCAUAAUGCAUUCACCAUUGAUUCAGCGACCCAUUUGUAGCUGGAAAUAAUGUGAUUUCUGAUUCCUUAAUAAGGGUAGUCAAGUUGCAGUAAAGAAAUUGAUGCCUCUCUAUUUAAAAUAAUGACACAGGGCAUUUAAAAGGAUGACUUUCAAUUGAUCCUCCAUCUAUUUCUUCCUUACUUUUUUUCUUUUCCCCUUCAGCAUUGCUUUUUCCAGUUGAGAGUUGCACUCUUCCCCAAACCAUGCCCUGUGCUAGGAAGUCUUCUGGGAUGAGUGAGGAGUGGCUCUAAUUGCAUUCUACUAUACAACUCCCAUGCCCUCAGUUUGUGUUAUGUGUUAAUCGCACUUCUUGUUGUGCCCUUCCAGACUGUGUAUGUGGUAGUGGGAGAAAGUCAUGGAUAACAAUCUCUAUGGUCUUUAACUCUGAACCUCCACCCACGAAAGUCACUGGGAUUCCAAGCCCAACACACGCACACUCACUUUCCUUUCCUUGGUGUGAAUGAUUGGUGCAGGGGGACAUUGUGACUUUCAUGGGCCUAGCAUUUCUUUUUUUUUUGUGAUGAAGAUUGUCCCUGAGCUAACAUCCGUGCCCAUCUUCCUCUACUUCAUAUGUGGAAUGCCACCACAGCACGGGUGGAGGAGCAGUGUGUAAGAUCCAAACUCGUGAACCCAGGGCCACUGAAAGAGAGUGUGUGAACUUAAGCACUAUACCACUGGGCCACAUGGGCCUAGUAUUUUUGCAUCCAUAGGCCCCUUCCUCCAUAAAAAAAUGUUAAAAAUUGUGUUUUAUGACUGCAUUGGUAUAAAGACAAACAAAUUCCAGACUGGAUUUAUUAUUACCCACAUAUUAAUAUAAUAGCCAUUUUGGGGGUUCUGAUUUUAAGAGUAUGGUGUCCCUGGAGCUGCUCUCUCUGUCACCUCUGGGUGGUCUAUUUUGGCAGCGGCUGCUUCCAUCUCCCCGCAGCUCCUCCAUUUUGGCUGUUCCUGCCCUAACAGGCCUUUUGUGACUCCUGCUGUUCUCACUAUUUUUGGUAGGAUUCAGGGAGUCUCUCCCAACAGUAAUCACAAAUCUUUUUGGGUGCCCAAUCAGUAGCUUUCAUCUUGUAGUCCUUUUUUUUUUUUUUUUUGGUGAGGAAGACCAGCCCUGAGCUAACAUUUGUUGCCAAUCUUCCUCCU